UACGUAGGGGGCAAGCGUUGUCCGGAAUCAUUGGGCGUAAAGGGCGCGUAGGUGGCCCGGUCAGUCUUUGGUGAAAGCGCGGGGCUCAACCCUGCGUCGGCCAGGGAUACUGCCGCGGCUCGAGCACUGUAGAGGCAGGCGGAAUUCCGGGUGUAGCGGUGGAAUGCGUAGAGAUCCGGAAGAACACCGGUGGCGAAGGCGGCCUGCUGGGCAGUUUAGCUGACACUGAGGCGCGACAGCGUGGAGAGCAAACAGG
rnacentral:rRNA from 1 species